rnacentral:rRNA from 1 species
UACGUAGGGUGCAAGCGUUGUCCGGAAUUAUUGGGCGUAAAGAGCGUGUAGGCGGCCCGAUUAGUCCGCUGUGAAAGUCCAGGGCUCAACCCUGGAAUGCCGGUGGAUACUGUCGGGCUAGAGUCCGGAAGGGGCGAGUGGAAUUCCUGGUGCAGCGGUGAAAUGCGCAGAUAUCAGGAGGAACACCGGUGGCGAAGGCGGGACUCUGGGCCGAUACUGACGCUGAGGAGCGAAAGCGUGGGGAGCAAACAGG